AGUCUGGUUGCAGUUUCUGCAUUGCUCCAUGAAAAAGACAGUCUCUGAGGUGCAACCAAAGGCAUUAAAAAAUUUUGUUUGGACAGAUAACUCGAAUAAGACAUCUCUUGCUUAAGUUGAUAGCAGUUGGUUUUGAUAUUCUGAGGAAUAUAGGCCACUGAAGUUUGAAUGCAGAGAAAACGCUGCAAGAUAGAAAACUGAGACCUACUCUUCAUUCAGGAACAACAAAGCAUUUAAUCUUCAGAGCAUCUUAGACUGAAAACCUUUCAACUGUGCUGAAAAACCUAGAAGACAGACCAUUUUGCCCACCCUCUCAUUUAAAAGGAAUUGAAGAAGAAAUAAAAUGGCAGAGGUUUAAGGUUACUAUUCAGGAUGACUGAUGAUAAUUCAGAUGAUAAAAUCGAAGAUGAAUUGCAAACCUUCUUUACCAGUGAUAAAGAUGGAAAUACACAUGCAUACAACCCGAAAUCACCACCUACACAAAACUCUUCAGCCAGCAGUGUGAAUUGGAAUUCUGCCAUCCCAGAUGACAUGGUGGUUGAUUAUGAAACUGACCCUG
rnacentral:sRNA from 1 species